AUGUAAAUCUUUUUCUAUUUUAAUCUGCAGGUGAGGGGGAUCCAGAAUCAGGAGAGCAAAUCAGAUCUCCUGGGGAAUUUAUUAUAAAAUGUACCACCUGUUACAUACUAUCAAUUGUUCUACAUCAGCCAAAAGGUGGUUGGUCAAGUCCCUAUGGGAAUUGAGAGGAAAGAGGACUGAUCAAAGCUUGAAAAACUGAGUGGCAAACACCAGGGGAGGAGAGAUGGGGGAGUACACACCUGUCUCGGAGUUUCCCAGCCUGGUGAGAGGUGCCCGGAUAGCCCUCUCCUCUCUCUGUUGAAGAAAUCUUACCUUUAUCUGAUGGUGAAGUGAAACCUAGAAACACCUUCUGAAGGCACCUGCCCGUCACUUGGGCACUGGAGUUGAGGGGGACAGGGUCACCCCUCCUCCUCAUGCUGUGCUGAGCAAGGACACAGGGCAGCGAUCCAGCGUCCUCGGUGCCUCCAGGAGCAGGGAUUAUAGACACGGAGCAUCCUGGCAGGCAAGCAGCUUGCACCCUGUGGUAGGGGACCUGAGGGAGGGCUGGGAAGCGGAGGGAGUGCAGAGCUGGUGACAUGCCUGCUGGGAAAUGGCAAAUGUUUGGGAGGGAGAUCCAUGGUUAUCUGGAGGGUGACAUAAAGGGUCUGGGAAAUGGCAUAAAGGUGUGUCUGGGCCAGACGAGGUGAAGGUUCAUCUUUACCACAGUAAAACACUCCAGGGUUCUUAAUGACUAUUGAUCCGGAAGAAAGAUUUCCUCCCAGGAGGCAUUUAUGUCACAAGGAAUGGUCGAACUAAAGGGUACAAGUGGAAGACCAAACCUCCUGCUUCAGGGGGGCCGCAGAGAGCUGGCUGCUCUCUCCAAGGUACUCUGGCAAUAAGGAACAGAAGCAGGAUUUAUUUAACUCGGAUUCUCUGACCCAAGAUUCACUACUUUUUGUCCAGUGAGAGGAAAUGAGUUCCUGGGGGCUAAAUUUGGGCUUGAGGAGACUAGGGCUCCAAACCUCCUUUUUCCUUUUGGUUAUGGUUGUAUAAAUUUGAUAAAAAAAAAAAAAA